ACUCCUACGGGAGGCAGCAGCGGGGAAUAUUGCACAAUGGGGGAAACCCUGAUGCAGCCAUGCCGCGUGUGUGAAGAAGGCCUUCGGGUUGUAAAGCACUUUCAGCGAGGAGGAAAGGUUGGUAGCUAAUAACUGCCAGCUGUGACGUUACUCGCAGAAGAAGCACCGGCUAACUCCGUGCCAGCAGCCGCGGUAAU
rnacentral:rRNA from 1 species